UGAUUGGAGUCGCAGAGCUAGAAUCUGAUACAUAGGAAGCCAUUACCAACAGUGAGUAGACUCCUCGCUAGGCGCUGAGCUCCCUGGGGGCAGGUGCUGUUUGUUUCAUCUCUGUUUCCCCCAAAAUCAAGCAUGGAAUGAUAUUCUUGGAAUCAAUCCACAGAGUGGAUGCUAACACAAAUUGGAAUCCCAUUAUAGAUGAGGUUCCUAUGAAAAACCGACACAGCAUAUUAAAAAGCAGAGACAUUACUUUGCCACCAAAGGUCCACCUAAUCAAAGCUGUGGUUUUCCCAGUGGUCAUGUAUGGAUGUGAGAGUUGGACCAUAAAGAAAGCUGAGCACCAAAGAAUUGACGCCUUUGAACUGUGAUGUUGGAGAAGACUCUUGAGAGUCCCAUGGACUGCAACCAGUCCAUCCUAAAGGAUAUCAGUCCUGAGUGUUCACUGGAAGGACUGAUGGUGAAGCUGAAACUCUAAUACUUUGGCCACCUGAUGCAAAGGACUGACUCAUUGGAAAAGACCCUGAUGCUGGGAAAGAUAGAAGGUAGGAGGAGACAGGGAUGACAGAGAUGAGAUGGUUGGAUGGCAUCACUGACUCAAUGGACAUGAGUUUGAGCAAGCUCCGGGAGUUGGUGAUGGACAGGGAAGCCUGGCAUGCUGCAGUCCAUGGGGUUGCAAAGAGUCGGAUACAACUGAGCGACUGAACUGAACUAUAAACGAGGUAGAAAGAAGGAUGGAAGUAUAAUUGAAAUCAUAGUAAGGUUUCUUUCAAUGAGUGGAGGAGUUGUACUGGAUGAAUUGACUUCUGGCUGGAGAAGAGAGAGAGACUGGAGCAGAGCCACCCAGGGAACCAGUGAUGUGAACACUCCUGAAUCCGCCCUGUUUUCCCCUUGACACCCUGGCUGCUUAGAUACCCACUUGUAAUCACAUGCUAUCCACCCUUCCCUUGCAGCCACCAUCACAACCUGCUGUCAGAUAGAGAACAGAGUUGUGGUUGCCAAGGGUGGAGGGGAGAGGGGCGGGCUGGGAAUCUGGGGUUGGUAGAUGCAAACUACUACAGUUAGAGUGGAUAAACAACAAGAUCCUAAUGUACAGCACAGGGGACAAUAUUCAGUAUCCUGCUGCGAUAAACCAUAAUGGAAACGAAUGUGUAUAUGUGUAUAACUGAGG
ensembl:lncRNA